UACAGAGGUCUCAAGCGUUGUUCGGAUUCAUUGGGCGUAAAGGGUGCGUAGGUGGCGCCGUAAGUCGGGUGUGAAAUUUCGGAGCUUAACUCCGAAACUGCAUUCGAUACUGCGGUGCUUGAGGACUGGAGAGGAGACUGGAAUUUACGGUGUAGCAGUGAAAUGCGUAGAGAUCGUAAGGAAGACCAGUGGCGAAGGCGGGUCUCUGGACAGUUCCUGACACUGAGGCACGAAGGCCAGGGGAGCAAACGGG
rnacentral:rRNA from 1 species